rnacentral:lncRNA from 1 species
CCAGCCUACGAGGUCCAGGCCAGCGUCCGGGUGCCCUACCGGUCCCCCUGUCCCCCGUUCCCCAGGCCAGCCCCCUGCUCCGGAUUGGUCCUUCAGGAAACCCUGCGGGGCGUCUCGGUCCCGGCUGCGGAGCCCGGCCUAGGCCGGAGGGCGGGGUUUGCCCUGGGCCUCUGCCGGUCAAGUCGACCGUCCCUGACAGCUCCGGGAGCCUCAGGCGCGACAGCGGCGCCGCCACCUCGGGACAUCCACACAGACCGCUCUUGCUCCAGCGGCAACCACCCCGCCCCCCUGGCCUGGCGCCGUGCAGCGAAGCCCAAGAGCUGGCAUCGCCACGAAGGUGCUGGUGGUGGAGGGAACUGACAGCUAACGCCUGUGGCCCAAGAGAACAAAACCUCCCAUUGCACUCCACGCCGCGACGCUCCCCAGCGAAAGGUGCUUCUUUUGGAAGACCGCAUGAAGUAAGGAAGAGCCUCUUUUCCUCUUCCUGUAUAUCCCUCCAGGAAUGUUAGAAGCUCCAGGACUUCUUGAUACGUCCAGGAAAAGAUCGCAACCGGGUCUUUAAAAUAUCGAAUCCAACUAGCUUCUGCGUGCCUGACACAUCUGGGCAGAUAGAGAAGUCAAGGCAAUAGAUAAAGGUGCUUUUAUCCCUAACAUGGGCAGCGAAGAUUCUGCUAUCCGCACUUUUUUCCUUUCCGUUUUUUCCUUCCCUCCUUUUCCUUCUUCUCCCUCCCUCCUUUCCUCCUCCUUCUCCCUCUCCCCUUCUCUUCUCCUCCUCUCUCCCUUUCUCCCUUUCUCCUCUCUUUUCCCCUUCCCUCCCCUGUUUUCGUCCUCCUGAGUAGACAAGAGGGCUCUCUGUCUACCCACCCUCCCCCACCCCAUUCCUCAUCCCGUUUCAAAAUAAGAGCGAAUGAAUCACAUUCUAAGCUCUUCUUACCCGUGCAGUUCUGACAAGUUUGGAAAGUACACAAAUCGCGUUUGCAAUUGAGGCCGCGGGAAUCCAAAAG